rnacentral:lncRNA from 1 species
GAUAGAGCUCUGAGAGGUUUGGGAGGACUGUGCUCUUUUACAGCGCUUCCCCUACAAACAGAAUCUGUAGUCACAGAAGGCAGUCUCCGUGUAGUUGAUAGAGCUGGAUGGAGCUGUGGGAGCCAGCCGAGACCUUAGAAACUCCCUCCUCAGCGGGGUGGGAGGAGACUGAGCAAAGUCUCACGGAAGAGCAAACUUCAAGUAGAUCUAGGUGAGGUGAACAAUUGCAGAUGGUGUUCCGGGAAGGAACGCCAGCAAGACAGCUUGGACUCUCCUGUGACUAGCUUGGGCCUGUUCUGAAGACGGGCUUUGAGCUGGAAAAUGGCAGGAUUUUUUGGGCUUUGAGCUGGAAAAUGGCAGGAUUAGGGUAGGGUCCUGUGUGUCCUUCCCCCCCCCCCCCCCCAGCCUGACAAUUUCUCAGAGAUGCAAAAUUCAGAGCAAUGGUGGAGGGAGGAAAAUGGCUAGUCCCAGCUUUGUCCUCUUCACACAGCUCUGAUGGUUCAUAUCCCACGCCAGCCCGGAAUGCAAAGAGCAAAUAGUGGCAGCUGGGGCUGGAGAGAUGGCUCAGUGGGGAAGAGCACUGGCUGUUCUUCCAGAGGUCCUGAGUUCAAACCCCAGCAACCACAUGAUGGCUCACAACCAUCUGUAAUGAGAUCUAAUGACCUCUUCUGGUGUGUCUGAAGACAGCUACAGUGUACUCAUAUAAAUAAAAUAAAUAAACUUAAAAGAAAAAGAAGCCA